GAGGCGAAAUGUUCGAAUCUUUAUUCUUUUGGAAAGAAGAAAGAAUCACAAAGUUGUUGAGGUUAAUUCACUUAGAUGUUAGUGGCACUUGUCCACAACAUAAUACUACUCAUGUUAUAUGACAUUCACCGAAGAUCACUCUCGGUUGGACUAUAGUUUAUUUUGAAUAAACACAAGUCCGAAUACUUUGCAAAAGGUUUCAAAGAAUUCAAGAAAUGUAAAUAGAUGAGUAAGAUAUCUAAAGUAUUUACCUCCUUAGAUUUGAUCCAAGGAAAGGUAACACUUUAGAUGAGUUUCCUUGAAAAAUAUCAAGGAAAAUAGCAUCAUAAGAUAAUGUAUUUCUCCAUUAGGAGAAGAACGAACUCAAAUAAGAUUUAGUUUGUUAGAUGUUAUCUAUUACCCAUAUAUAGGAUAUAUACUUCUAAAACAAUAUGAUUGUCAAUUAGAAGAUCUUCCAAAAUUUUCAUAACUCCAUAAGAUGUAGUUGGAAAGAAAGACAAAUCUUAAGCAUGUUAAGAUUUGAGGUUGUGUGCUAAUAAGCAAUAUUUGUUUGAUAACAAUCUUGUAGGAUAUCCUUAAAUUAACUUUUGGAUAUCGCUUCUAUAAACCAACUAACAAAUGUUGUUUUGUUGGGUAGUUCAUUGUAAUUCUACAAUGUGAUUUGCCUAAAAGCAAAUGAACGAGAGAUAGAACUCGAAGAAUGGGUUCUUUGAGAGACAAGAAAGUAAUCAACAAAUAUAACAACCUAGUUCCUAUACCUCAAGCUCCAAGGUAGUCGAUAAGGAUUUAUAAACCGUCUCAGUUGAAUGGUUUUGAACUUUAUGACUAUGUCAUAAAGUUGCACCUCUUAAUUCGAAAGAAGUAAGAAUGAAAAUCCUUAUGACUACACUGAGUGCAUAUACGAUAUAUACUCAAGGAAAUGGUAAAGUACCAUUUGACUCGAAAUAAUGAAACCUUCAUAGCUAAUUGGUAGCUUAAGGUGACUACAAUCAAAGAGAAUGGUUGACUUUGAAGAAACCAUCUUUGAGAUAGUCUUAGUUUCAAUUAAUUCGAAGAUUGCUAGCUACAACUAAAUGGUGAUUCAAUGUUUGGACAUAAUAUGGGUUUCCGAAACCAUUAUUAAGAUAGUCUUGAUAAUAUAUGUCUAAAAACUAAAAAUCACAAGACAUCUAAGUUGUAGAGAUCCAUCCAUCAUGAAUCUUAGCAAGCUAGUGGGAGCUAUAUGCGUCUUAUGAGAGAAAGAUCAAAUCGUUUGAUUUCUCAUAAAGAUGUAAAUGAAUCUUUUGUUUACUAGGUUUACAAAAGAUUAGUGGGAGUUAAUCAUGUUCCUAAAAAUUUAAAUAUAUAUGAUAUAUUUAUUUUGGAAAUGAAAAUAAUACUUCUUCGUUAAAGUUAUGACUUUAAUACAUUAUAUGAAGAUAGAAUGUAUAUGGGAGAUAUAGUCUAUGUACAUGGGAUGGAAAUCUAUAAUGAUAUAUUUCAUGAUAUAAUUGGAUUAUAUCAAUCCCUAAUAAUAGACAAUGGAUGCUAGGAAGUUUCUCAUAUGAUGAUAAACUUCAAUAAGAAGGACGAUUCUAGUGAGACUAGCAAGUUGCCCUUCUCAAAGGGAACGUACCCUUUGACUCCCAAAGAAAUAAUGCGUAAAUUGAAUCCUUUAUGCAUACGCAGAAAGGUGAUUUAUGUAUUUCAUAUUGUAUGAAAAACAUUGAUAUGAGUUGUACCUAGAACGGUACAAGAUGAUAUCAAUGCAAGCCCAGGAUCAGAACCAUGGCAACUGUCAAGUGAGUCCUUAAGUAUUUAAGAAAUACUAAAGGAUAAAUUCCUCAAAGAUCGAGGAAGAAUCAAAGUAACAUAAUGGAAGCGUAAAUGUAUUAGAUUAUGAAUCUAAUCCAUCAUUGGAUGUUUUU
rnacentral:lncRNA from 1 species